rnacentral:rRNA from 1 species
AUUGAACGCUGGCGGCAUGCCUUACACAUGCAAGUCGAACGGCAGCACGGGUGCUUGCACCUGGUGGCGAGUGGCGAACGGGUGAGUAAUACAUCGGAACAUGUCCUGUAGUGGGGGAUAGCCCGGCGAAAGCCGGAUUAAUACCGCAUACGAUCUACGGAUGAAAGCGGGGGACCUUCGGGCCUCGCGCUAUAGGGUUGGCCGAUGGCUGAUUAGCUAGUUGGUGGGGUAAAGGCCUACCAAGGCGACGAUCAGUAGCUGGUCUGAGAGGACGACCAGCCACACGGGGACGGAGACACGGCCCAGACUCCUACGGGAGGCAGCAGUGGGGAAUUUUGGACAAUGGGCGAAAGCCUGCUCCAGCAAUGCCGCGUGUGUGAAGAAGGCCUUCGGGUUGUAAAGCACUUUUGUCCGGAAAGAAAUCCUUGGCCCUAAUACGGUCGGGGGAUGACGGUACCGGAAGAAUAAGCACCGGCUAACUACGUG